UUAAAGAUAGUGAUAAGAAAGAGUAGUUUUAGAUAUACUUUUUAGAGAGCUGAAGUUUGGUGUGAUUCAGUAAGUAUACUUAAAUGAAGCAGUCUUUGAAUUUCAUACUGAGAACUAAGAAUAGAUAUUCUUAAUUAGGUUAUGACGUGUUCCUUACGUUACAAAGGAUAGAAUGUUUAGUUGACAUUCUUACUGAGUGAAUAGCAUACGUGCUAUUUAUUAGGGUGGUACCGCGAAGUAGUUCCUUCGUCCCUUGU
rnacentral:ncRNA from 1 species